UUUCUGAACGCUGUUGAUCACGUGAUCAAAGCACUGAGAGCACCUUACCUCGAAAGCACCAGUGUUCACAGUAGAAAAAUGGCAACGAUUUAUGACGUCAUAUAUUUCCCUAGGAUACUGCGACUGUAUACUGUCCGUCUAUAACGGAACGAAUUUCUCCCCAGUAAGAGCACUGAACAGUGCUCGCAGUGUAUAUCGGAACAUACCCCGUGUCAAAACGUCUUUAAGAGUGCCUCAAGAUGGCCUAUCAACAGACGCCGGUCCCAGUCGGAAUUGGAAAGCGAUAGGGAGAGGCAGGCCGCUUCUCUUCUAACUUCCUGUUUCGAUCUCUGCAAGUGUGUUUUUUUUUUUUUUUUGUCGUGCUGUUACAUCCUUCCCGCCUGAAGCCUCGUAAACGUCAACGCAACUGGGGAACAUCCCAGAAGGGGUCAAAAAAAAAGAAGAAAAUGAAUAUUGAAAGAAAACAGCAACAAGAAUAAGAGUAAUUAAACACUAAAGGACCAAAAGUAGUUCUUAAAAUUCUUGAGAUAUCCCAGGAAUAAGCUAAGAGUACGUUGGCACUUUCGCUUCGGGGGCAUAGCCUCAACAUCAACGUCUAUUCUCCAUUUAAGUAUCCAAAAGUACUAAAACUGUGCUAGAGAAAUUAUCAAAUACAAUCUCUGAUCAGCUGAAUAAAUUCUGUGAUGUUCCACUGCAAAUUCAAGUGAUUGCUGAAGUAUUUUUCUGCAAUAAUGAUGAGAUUGUAUGAGUAGUUGAUCAUUAAAAUAUGGAGCUGGAUGUGUUGAAUCAUAUCAGAGUAGAUAUGUGACAAGAAGUAUGCAGUAUAUUGUAAGAAAAAAAAAAAAUAAAAGGCUUAAGUAAUCCUGGAGCGCAAGAAGAUGCCAAGGAAUUGAGGACAAAAUUUCUGAUGGCCCAACAGCGAUUAGCAUUGUACAUCUUGCUCAAAGAAGAGCAUUCAGGGACAUGGAAAUUGUUUCCGAAAGAAAUGGACAAAGUGAAAAAAUUGAAAGACAAGAUUAGUAGAGGUACAAAGUGAACUGGCAUUGUGACAAUUGUAAUCAAUCAGAGAGCACAUUUCAUUCGCCUUACUUUUAUGGAAUAUAUUGUAGCCGAUUAUUUACAUGAAUAAUUAUAAAAAUCGGAAGAAACCCAUUCAAUCUCAAAAUUACAAAUAUUUACUUUGAAGCAAAUUCUGCUUGAAUCAAAGAAUAAUUGUAAUCCGUGCCUAUCUGAACGAUCUGUUAUCCAAACCACCAUUGAGCUCAACAUUAGAGGUUUCUUUCUGACAGAUUGAAUUGGAUAAAUUCGUAGUGACCAAGAUGGCAAAAAUAUUUUGCACAUUGCUACUGAAGAAGGCAGCCAUAAAAAUAUGAAAUUCUACUGCACAUUGCUUGCAAAAAAUUUUGCCAAUCCGCAAAAGUUAAUUACCAUUAAGCCCGGGCGUGAUGGGAGAAUUCUGAUGCGUAGGAUAAUUUCAAAAUGUCAACUUCAAAAAUGUCGAGAGUUCAUCAGAUGAAAAUAACUUGGCAGUUGUGGAAUGGCUGCUAGACCAAAAAGCUAACAUUAAUGCUACCGAUGAACACGAAAAUACACCAAUGCACACAGCUGUUAAAAAUGGGCAUUUGAUGACUUUGAAAUUACCGGCAAGCCAGCGAGAUGCUGUUAAAACAGCUUGGAAUCACAGUGGGGAAAGAUUACAUCAGAUAGCUGCUUAAAAUGGAAACCUUGAUGUCGUCAAGUGGCUGGUGAAAGAGAGAGAUUCCGAUAUUGAUGUUAGAGAUAAUUUUGGGACCACAUUGCAACACAUGGCUUGCCGCAGAGGAAACCUUCAGAUCGUCAAGAGUCGCUAGUAAAAAAGCGAAGCUGCAAUAUCGACAUUCUAGAUAAUCCGGGAAUAACGUUGUAUCAAUAUGAUUAAAAAUAUAUAAGGCAUUAAGACCAUUGACAAUGUAAUGUUGAAAGAAAAAGAUAAGAAAAAAAUUAAAAGCAAAGAUCCAAAUCAGUAA
rnacentral:lncRNA from 1 species